rnacentral:misc_RNA from 1 species
UUUCCGUAGGUGAACCUGCGGAAGGAUCAUUACCGAGCACGCGCCCCCCGGGGCCGUCCUCCACCCUGUCUACCGUACCCGUCUCGUUGCUUUGGCGGCGGCCUCCGCCGCCGAAGGGACGCCCCCUCGAACCCUGUCGUGUCAGUGUCGUCCGAGUCCUGAUAUAUAAUCAAUCAAAACUUUCAACAACGGAUCUCUUGGUUCUGGCAUCGAUGAAGAACGCAGC